rnacentral:rRNA from 1 species
GUGAGACAGGUGCUGCAUGGCUGUCGUCAGCUCGUGUUGUGAAAUGUUGGGUUAAGUCCCGCAACGAGCGCAACCCUUAUCCUUUGUUGCCAGCGUCGGCCGGGAACUCAAAGGAGACUGCCAGUGAUAAACUGGAGGAAGGUGGGGAUGACGUCAAGUCAUCAUGGCCCUUACGACCAGGGCUACACACGUGCUACAAUGGCGCAUACAAAGAGAAGCGACCUCGCGAGAGCAAGCGGACCUCAUAAAGUGCGUCGUAGUCCGGAUUGGAGUCUGCAACUCGACUCCAUGAAGUCGGAAUCGCUAGUAAUCGUGGAUCAGAAUGCCACGGUGAAUACGUUCCCGGGCCUUGUACACACCGCCCGUCACACCAUGGGAGUGGGUUGCAAAAGAAGUAGGUAGCUUAACCUUCGGGAGGGCGCUUACCACUUUGUGAUUCAUGACUGGGGUGAAGUCGUAACAAGGUAACCGUAGGGGAACCUGCGGUUGGAUCACCUCCUUACCUUAAAGAA